AGAGUUUGAUCAUGGCUCAGGAUAAACGCUGGCGGCGUGCCUAACACAUGCAAGUCGAACGCCCUGCGCAAGCAGGGAGUGGCGGACGGGUGAGUAACACGUGGGUAUCUGCCCUGAGGUGAGGAAUACCGGCGAGAAAUCGCCGACAAGACCGCAUACGCUCUGCGAAGAGCAAAGUCGUAAGACGCCUGAGGAUGAGC
rnacentral:rRNA from 1 species